GAUGAACGCUGGCGGCGUGCCUAAUACAUGCCAGUCGAGCGAACGGACGAGAAGCUUGCUUCUCUGAUGUUAGCGGCGGACGGGUGAGUAACACGUGGAUAACCUACCUAUAAGACUGGGAUAACUUCGGGAAACCGUAGCUAAUACCGGAUAAUAUUUUGAACCGCAUGGUUCAAAAGUGAAAGACGGUCUUGCUGUCACUUAUAGAUGGAUCCGCGCUGCAUUAGCUAGUUGGUAAGGUAACGGCUUACCAAGGCAACGAUGCAUAGCCGACCUGAGAGGGUGAUCGGCCACACUGGAACUGAGACACGGUCCAGACUCCUAUGGGAGGCAGCAGUAGGGAAUCUUCCGCAAUGGGCGAAAGCCUGACGGAGCAACGCCGCGUGAGUGAUGAAGGUCUUCGGAUCGUAAAACUCUGUUAUUAGGGAAGAACAUAUGUGUAAGUAACUGUGCACAUCUUGACGGUACCUAAUCAGAAAGCCACGGCUAACUACGUG
rnacentral:rRNA from 1 species